rnacentral:rRNA from 1 species
AGAGUUUGAUCCUGGCUCAGGAUGAACGCUGGCGGCGUGCUUAACACAUGCAAGUCAAGGGGGCCCAGCAAUGGGCAACCGGCGAACGGGUGCGUAACACGUGAGCAACCUACCCAGGUGUGGGGGAUAGCCGUCCCAACGAACGGGUAAUACCGCAUACGCUCUUCUUUAGGCAUUUAGAGAAGAGGAAACCUUCGGGGCACCAUGAGGGGCUCGCGGCCUAUCAGCUAGUUGGCGAGGUAAUGGCUCACCAAGGCGACGACGGGUAGCUGGUCUGAGAGGAUGGCCAGCCACAUUGGGACUGAGAAACGGCCCAGACUCCUACGGGAGGCAGCAGUGGGGAAUCUUGCGCAAUGGCCUAACGGCUGACGCAGCGACGCCGCGUGAGGGAUGACGCUCUUCGGAGUGCAAACCUCUUUUGCCUGGAACGAAUUGCGAGCUUUUGCUCGCUUCGACGGACCGGGUGAAUAAGCACCCGCUAACUCCGUGCCAGCAGCCGCGGUA